rnacentral:rRNA from 1 species
UACGUAGGGGGCGAGCGUUGUCCGGCGUUACUGGGCGUAAAGGGCGUGCAGGCGGUGCGGUAAGUUUAGCGUGACAGUCUCCGGCUUAACUGGAGAAGGCCGCUGAAAACUGCUGGACUUGAGGGCCAGAGAGGGACAUAGAAUUCCGGGUGGAGUGGUGAAAUGCGUAGAUAUCCGGAGGAAUACCAAAGGCGAAGGCAGUGUCCUGGCUGGCAACUGACGCUGAGACACGAAAGCGUGGGUAGCAAACAGG